GACGAACGCUGGCGGCGUGCUUAACACAUGCAAGUCGAACGGAAAGGCCCUGCGUUUGUGCGGUGCUCGAGUGCCGAACGGGUGAGUAACACGUGAGUAACCUGCCCUUGACUUUGGGAUAACUUCAGGAAACUGGGGCUAAUACCGGAUAGGAGCUCCUGCUGCAUGGUGGGCGUUGGAAAGUUUCGGCGGUUGGGGAUGGACUCGCGGCUUAUCAGCUUGUUGGUGGGGUAGUCGCUUACCAAGGGUUUGACGGGUAGCCGGCCUGAGUGGGUGACCGGCCACAUUGGGACUGAGGGACGGCGCAGACUCCUACGUGAGGCAGCAGGGGGGAGUAUUGCACAAUGAGCGGAAGCCGGAUGCAGCAGCGCCGGGUGCGGGAUGACGGCCUUCGGGUUGUAAACCGCUUUCGCCUGUGACGAAGCGUGAGUGACGGUAAUGGGUAAAGAAGCACCGGCUAACUACGUG
rnacentral:rRNA from 1 species